rnacentral:rRNA from 1 species
CCUACGUGGAGCAGCAGUGAGGAAUAUUGGUCAAUGGGCGCGAGCCUGAACCAGCCAAGUAGCGUGAAGGAUGACUGCCCUACGGGUUGUAAACUUCUUUUAUAAAGGAAUAAAGUGAGGCACGUGUGCCUUUUUGUAUGUAUUUUAUGAAUAAGGAGCGGCUAACUACGUGUCAGCAGCCGCGGUAAUACGGAGGAUCCGAGCGUUAUCCGGAUUUAUUGGGUUUAAAGGGAGCGUAGAUGGGUUGUUAAGUAAGUUGUGAAAGUUUGCGGCUCAACCGUAAAAUUGCAAUUGAUACUGGCAGCCUUGAGUACAGUUGAGGUAGGCGGAAUUCGUGGUGUAGCGGUGAAAUGCUUAGAUAUCACGAAGAACUCCGAUUGCGAAGGCAGCCUACUAAACUGCAACUGACAUUGAGGCUCGAAAGUGUGGGUAUCAAACAGGAUUAGAUACCCUAGUAGUC